rnacentral:rRNA from 1 species
GAUGAACGCUGGCGGCGUGCCUAAUACAUGCAAGUCGAGCGAACGGACGAGAAGCUUGCUUCUCUGAUGUUAGCGGCGGACGGGUGAGUAACACGUGGAUAACCUACCUAUAAAACUGGGAUAACUUCGGGAAACCGGAGCUAAUACCGGCUGAUAUUUUUAACUGCAUGGUUCAAAAGUGAAAGACGGUCUUGCUGUCACUUAUAGAUGGAUCCUCGCUGCAUUAGCUAGUUGGUAAGGUAACGGAUUACCAAGGCAACGAUGCAUAGCCGACCUGAGAGGGUGAUCGGCCACCCUGGAACUGAGCCACGGUCCAGACUCCUACGGGAGGCAGCAGAAGGGAAUCUUCCGCAAUGGGCGAAAGCCUGACGGAGCAACGCCGCGUGAGUGAUGAAGGUCUUCGGAUCGUAAAACUCUGUUAUUAGGGAAGAACAUAUGUGUAAGUAACUGUGCACAUCUUGACGGUACCUAAUCAGAAAGCCACGGCUAACUACGUG